rnacentral:lncRNA from 1 species
AUCAGGAAUUGGUCAGCUUUCUCCCACCUGUGCUGCAGAUGCCACGGAGGUGCAGACAAAAGCUGACUCAGAGCCUCAGCUGGGUGGUUGCCCCCACCCUGGGGAGCCCAAGGGGAGGCACCCCCUGAGAUGUUCCAGGGCCCCAGGGUUCAGGCCCCGUGGCGACUGUGUAACCGUGGCUGUCAACAUUCACCUAAAAUUCUUCAGGGUCCUGGAAA